rnacentral:rRNA from 1 species
ACGCUGGCGGCAGGCCUAACACAUGCAAGUCGAGCGGUAGCACAGGAGAGCUUGCUCUCUGGGUGACGAGCGGCGGACGGGUGAGUAAUGUCUGGGAAACUGCCUGAUGGAGGGGGAUAACUACUGGAAACGGUAGCUAAUACCGCAUGACCUCGCAAGAGCAAAGUGGGGGACCUUCGGGCCUCACGCCAUCGGAUGUGCCCAGAUGGGAUUAGCUAGUAGGUGGGGUAAUGGCUCACCUAGGCGACGAUCCCUAGCUGGUCUGAGAGGAUGACCAGCCACACUGGAACUGAGACACGGUCCAGACUCCUACGGGAGGCAGCAGUGGGGAAUAUUGCACAAUGGGCGCAAGCCUGAUGCAGCCAUGCCGCGUGUGUGAAGAAGGCCUUAGGGUUGUAAAGCACUUUCAGCGAGGAGGAAGGCGUUGUAGUUAAUAGCUGCAGCGAUUGACGUUACUCGCAGAAGAAGCACCGGCUAACUCCGUGCCAGCAGCCGCGGUAAUACGGAGGGUGCAAGCGUUAAUCGGAAUUACUGGGCGUAAAGCGCACGCAGGCGGUUUGUUAAGUCAGAUGUGAAAUCCCCGAGCUUAACUUGGGAACUGCAUUUGAAACUGGCAAGCUAGAGUCUUGUAGAGGGGGGUAGAAUUCCAGGUGUUGCGGUGAAAUGCGUAGAGAUCCGGAGGAAUACCGGUGGCGAAGGCGGCCCCCUGGACAAAGACUGACGCUCAGGUGCGAAAGCGUGGGGAGCAAAC